AUGAACGCUAGCUACAGGCUUAACACAUGCAAGUCGAGGGGCAGCAUGAACUUAGCUUGCUAAGUUUGAUGGCGACCGGCGCACGGGUGAGUAACACGUAUCCAACCUGCCGAUGACUCGGGGAUAGCCUUUCGAAAGAAAGAUUAAUACCCGAUGGCAUAGUUCUUCCGCAUGGUAGAACUAUUAAAGAAUUUCGGUCAUCGAUGGGGAUGCGUUCCAUUAGGUUGUUGGCGGGGUAACGGCCCACCAAGCCUUCGAUGGAUAGGGGUUCUGAGAGGAAGGUCCCCCACAUUGGAACUGAGACACGGUCCAAACUCCUACGGGAGGCAGCAGUGAGGAAUAUUGGUCAAUGGACGAGAGUCUGAACCAGCCAAGUAGCGUGAAGGAUGACUGCCCUAUGGGUUGUAAACUUCUUUUAUACGGGAAUAAAGUGAGGCACGUGUGCCUUUUUGUAUGUACCGUAUGAAUAAGGAUCGGCUAACUCCGUGCCAGCAGCCGCGGUAAUACGGAGGAUCCGAGCGUUAUCCGGAUUUAUUGGGUUUAAAGGGAGCGUAGGCGGACGCUUAAGUCAGUUGUGAAAGUUUGCGGCUCAACCGUAAAAUUGCAGUUGAUACUGGGUGUCUUGAGUACAGUAGAGGCAGGCGGAAUUCGUGGUGUAGCGGUGAAAUGCUUAGAUAUCACGAAGAACUCCGAUUGCGAAGGCAGCCUGCUGGACUGUAACUGACGCUGAUGCUCGAAAGUGUGGGUAUCAAACAGGAUUAGAUACCCUGGUAGUCCACACAGUAAACGAUGAAUACUCGCUGUUUGCGAUAUACAGUAAGCGGCCAAGCGAAAGCGUUAAGUAUUCCACCUGGGGAGUACGCCGGCAACGGUGAAACUCAAAGGAAUUGACGGGGGCCCGCACAAGCAGUGGAGUAUGUGGUUUAAUUCGACGCAACGCGAAGAACCUUACCAGGGCUUGACAUAUAAGUGAAUAAUUAAGAGAUUAGUUAGCUCUUCGGAGCACUUAUACAGGUGGUGCAUGGUUGUCGUCAGCUCGUGUCGUGAGAUGUUGGGUUAAGUCCCGCAACGAGCGCAACCCCUGUUCUUAGUUGCCAGCACGUUAAGGUGGGAACUCUAAGAAGACUGCCGGUGAUAAAUCGGAGGAAGGUGGGGAUGACGUCAAAUCAUCAUGCCCUUUAUGUCCUGGGCUACACACGUACUACAAUGGGUGUAACAGAGGGAAGCAAGAUAGCGAUAUGGAGCGAAACCCAAAAAGCACCCCCAGUUCGGAUUGAAGGCUGAAAUUCGCCUUUAUGAAGCCGGAAUUGCUAGUAAUGGCAGGUCAGCAUACUGCCGUGAAUACGUUCCCGGGCCUUGUACACACCGCCCGUCACACCAUGAGAGUUGGGAAUACCCGAAGCCUGUGAGCCAACUAAUUUAUUAGAGGCAGCAGUCGAAGGUAGAAUCAAUGAUUGGGGUG
rnacentral:rRNA from 1 species